AACGAACGCUGGCGGCAGGCCUAACACAUGCAAGUCGAGCGAGGACUUCGGUCCUAGCGGCGGACGGGUGAGUAACGCGUGGGAACGUGCCCUUUGCUUCGGAAUAGCCCUGGGAAACUGGGAGUAAUACCGGAUGGGCCCUUUGGGGGAAAGAUUUAUCGGCGAAGGAUCGGCCCGCGUUGGAUUAGGUAGUUGGUGGGGUAAUGGCCUACCAAGCCGACGAUCCAUAGCUGGUUUGAGAGGAUGAUCAGCCACACUGGGACUGAGACACGGCCCAGACUCCUACGGGAGGCAGCAGUGGGGAAUCUGAGACAAUGGGGGAAACCCUGAUCUAGCCAGGCCGCGGGAGCGAUGAAGGCCUUAGGGUUGUAAAGCUCUUUCAGCUGGGAAGAUAAUGACGGUACCAGCAGAAGAAGCCCCGGCUAACUCCGU
rnacentral:rRNA from 1 species